CCCUGUUGGAGUCAGUCAGAACAUUUCCAUAGAGAUCCACUUUGCAUCAGCAGCACCAUGCUCCAGUGCUCUGGGAGAGUUUAUAGUCCUGAGAGUUGAACACUGGAUGACUGACAGUUGUCCUUCAUCACAACAGAAGACACAGAAAUCCUCCUCAUCAAAAACAUGACUUUGAUCUACGUCCUCAUCUGGACUCUCCUCUGCUGCUGCUUCACAGAGUCCAGAGGUCAGGUCACAGUGACUCAGCCUGCAGCAGAGAGAGCUGAUCUGGGAGGAUCUGUCACCAUCAGAUGUAGGACCAGUCACAGGGUAGAUGAUGGAGAAGAUCAGUUUUGGUACCAACAGAGAGACAAAGAGUCUCCUAAACUGAUUUUCAGUUAUGGCAAUCGGAAGGUUGCAGGAACUCCAGACCGUUUUUCUGCCAGAGGAUCAAACCCUGACUUCACUUUGACCAUCAGUGGAGUUCAGGCUGAAGAUGCUGCAACUUAUCAUUGUAAAGGUGAAUUCCAGAUAAACGGUCAACUUCUGUUCACACAGUGA